UUGAUGGAGAGUUUGAUUCUGGCUCAGAAUGAACGCUGGCGGCGUGCUUAACACAUGCAAGUCGAACGGAAUCCAAGGAGCUUGCUCUGGAAGAUUUAGUGGCGAACGGGUGAGUAUCACGUGAGCAACCUGCCCCGAAGACUGGGAUAACACCGGGAAACCGGUGCUAAUACCGGAUGUCCUCUUUUUAUCGCAUGAUAAGAAGAGGAAAUGUUUUUUCGCUUCGGGAGGGGCUCGCGGUCCAUCAGCUUGUUGGCGGGGUAACGGCCCACCAAGGCUACGACGGAUAGCUGGUCUGAGAGGACG
rnacentral:rRNA from 1 species